rnacentral:rRNA from 1 species
GUGGGGAAUCUUGCGCAAUGGGCGAAAGCCUGACGCAGCCAUGCCGCGUGAAUGAUGAAGGUCUUAGGAUUGUAAAAUUCUUUCACCGGGGACGAUAAUGACGGUACCCGGAGAAGAAGCUCCGGCUAACUUCGUGCCAGCAGCCGCGGUAAUACGAAGGGGGCUAGCGUUGCUCGGAAUUACUGGGCGUAAAGGGCGCGUAGGCGGACAGCUUAGUCAGAGGUGAAAGACCAGGGCUCAACCUUGGAAUUGCCUUUGAUACUGGCUGUCUGGAGUUUGGGAGAGGUGAGUGGAACUCCGAGUGUAGAGGUGAAAUUCGUAGAUAUUCGGAAGAACACCAGUGGCGAAGGCGACUCACUGGCCCAAUACUGACGCUGAGGCGCGAAAGCGUGGGGAGCAAACAGGAUUAGAUACCCCAGUAGUCC